UACGUAGGGCGCAAGCGUUGUCCGGAAUUAUUGGGCGUAAAGAGCUCGUAGGCGGUUUUGUCGCGUCUGCUGUGAAAACCUAAGGCUCAACCUUGGGCUUGCAGUGGGUACGGGCAGACUAGAGUGCGGUAGGGGAGACUGGAAUUCCUGGUGUAGCGGUGAAAUGCGCAGAUAUCAGGAGGAACACCGGUGGCGAAGGCGGUUCUC
rnacentral:rRNA from 1 species